UACAGAGGUCCCAAGCGUUGUUCGGAUUCAUUGGGCGUAAAGGGUGUGUAGGUGGCGCCGUAAGUCGGGUGUGAAAUCUCGGGGCUUAACUCCGAAACUGCAUUCGAUACUGCCGUGCUUGAGGACUGGAGAGGAGACUGGAAUUUACGGUGUAGCGGUGAAAUGCGUAGAUAUCGUAAGGAAGACCAGUGGCGAAGGCGGGUCUCUGGACAGUUCCUGACGCUGAAGCACGAAGGCCAGGGGAGCAAACGGG
rnacentral:rRNA from 1 species